UACGUAGGGGGCAAGCGUUGUCCGGAAUCAUUGGGCGUAAAGCGCGUGUAGGCGGCUAGAUAAGUCUGCUCUGAAAGCCCGGGGCUCAACCCCGGGAGGCGGGUGGAUACUGUCUAGCUCGAGUCCGGAAGAGGAGUGUGGAAUUCCUGGUGUAGCGGUGAAAUGCGCAGAUAUCAGGAAGAACACCCGUGGCGAAAGCGGCUCUCUGGAACGGUACUGACGCUGAGGAGCGAAAGCGUGGGGAGCAAACAGG
rnacentral:rRNA from 1 species